ACACCGGAGAGGGAGCCUGAGAAACGGCUACCACAUCCAAGGAUGGCAGCAGGCGCGCAAAUUACCCAAUCCCGACACGGGGAGGUAGUGACAAUAAAUAACAAUACGGGGUUCUUUCGGAUCUCGUAAUUGGAAUGAGUACAAUUUAAAUCUCUUAACGAGGAACAAUUGGAGGGCAAGUCUGGUGCCAGCAGCCGCGGUAAUUCCAGCUCCAAUAGCGUAUAUUAAAGUUGUUGCAGUUAAAAAGCUCGUAGUUGAAUUUCGGGGUUAGUAGGUUGGUCAUGCCUCUGGUAUGUACUGAUCUCACUGAUUCCUCCUUCCUGAUGAACCGUAAUGCCAUUAAUUUGGUGUUGCGGGGAAUUUGGACUGUUACUUUGAAAAAAUUAGAGUGUUUAAAGCAAGCUAACGCUUGAAUACAUUAGCAUGGAAUAAUGAAAUAGGACGUUCGAUCCUAUUUUGUUGGUUUCUAGGAUUGACGUAAUGAUUAAUAGGGAUAGUUGGGGGCAUUAGUAUUCAAUUGUCAGAGGUGAAAUUCUUGGAUUUAUUGAAGACUAACUACUGCGAAAGCAUUUGCCAAGGAUGUUCUCAUUAAUCAAGAACGAAAGUUAGGGGAUCGAAGACGAUCAGAUACCGUCGUAGUCUUAACCAUAAACUAUGCCGACUAGGGAUCGGAUGAUGUUAAUUUUUUAAUGACUCAUUCGGCGCCUUACG
rnacentral:rRNA from 1 species